CCUACGGGGGGCUGCAGUGGGGAAUAUUGCACAAUGGGCGCAAGCCUGAUGCAGCCAUGCCGCGUGUGUGAAGAAGGCCUUCGGGUUGUAAAGCACUUUCAGCGGGGAGGAAGGCGGUGAGGUUAAUAACCUCAUCGAUUGACGUUACCCGCAGAAGAAGCACCGGCUAACUCCGUGCCAGCAGCCGCGGUAAUACGGAGGGUGCAAGCGUUAAUCGGAAUUACUGGGCGUAAAGCGCACGCAGGCGGUCUGUCAAGUCGGAUGUGAAAUCCCCGGGCUCAACCUGGGAACUGCAUUCGAAACUGGCAGGCUAGAGUCUUGUAGAGGGGGGUAGAAUUCCAGGUGUAGCGGUGAAAUGCGUAGAGAUCUGGAGGAAUACCGGUGGCGAAGGCGGCCCCCUGGGCAAAGACUGACGCUCAGGUGCGAAAGCGUGGGGAGCAAACAGGAUUAGAUACCCGUGUAGUC
rnacentral:rRNA from 1 species